UAGAAGAACCUCCAACAAUAAUAGUUUGGUGGCUUUGUUUUGCAGCAGUGACAGAAAUCCUUGACAGAAGUCACGCUCGCCUGGAACAGGAGCAGGCAGACGAAGAGUUUGCUCGAUAUUUGCAGGUAGGAAGAUGUGCCACCUAUAGAGGUUGGCUGGACUGAAAGAACACAGUUGGACAGAGUGAACAUGUAUCUGAUUCUUUCUUGUCCUUAAGGCCCAGUUUGAUGAAGAGCAAGCCAGCUCUCGCCAGCAGCAGAGGUCAUAUAGGGUAAGACCUGAGUCUGAACCGUGCUGUACAUUGCAAUAUCAUGCAGAAUUUCAAUUUCCUUUUAACCUUUUUUUCUGCACAGUACCACAGAUCUGUCCAUCACAACCUACGGCAGAGAGAACCUCAAAACAGUGAGUAAAUAAAGACAGCUUUACGACAUUUACACAGCACACAUCUAUGUAUACAUUUAUUUGGUGUUAGUUACAUCAGCUGCUAGCAAAAACAUACUUUUAAUCUAUCAUUAUUUUCCUUCUGCUCUUGUAUAAGUAUUGGAAAGUUUUUACAACACUGACAGCUGCUGCGACAUGCAGAAAGAAUUUAAAUCAAUGCAUUUUUUGAAAUUUAAGAUCGAGGAUGUAUGACCAGCAUGUUGAUCUAACCUUUGUUUGCUCAUCUGAUUGGCUGGGAGGGAAUAGGUGGCUUGGGCAGGUUCCCCCGCUCUCAAGAUCCUCUGGAAGGUGAUUACGAGGUGCGUACACGAACAGCUCUGGGCUCAUAUUCACCAUUCAGGCAUCUGGAUCCAGUGUGCCGAACUAAACAAGAAGCACAGUAACAUCUAUUUACUCUUUCAGGCCCUCCUGCAGUUUGAGGAGCAACAGGGUGCAGUCGUGGUCAGAAGUCUUAGUUCACAGGAAAUUUCAAGAUUUCCCACCAAAAAAUUUGGGAGUGGCACCUGUGCAGGAAGCGCUGUGUGUAACGUUUGCUUAUGUGAUUAUACUGAUGGGGAGACGCUGAGGACCCUGCCGUGCCUCCACAGCUAUCACAGGGACUGUAUUGACCACUGGCUCAAAGAUAACCCAGUAUGCCCAGUCUGCCGGACCGACCUGACUGACAGCGAAACCCUACACACCCAACACAGUUGACAUUAAACAAUGUCUUUAAAGGGCAAUUCAACCCUUUAAAAAAAACACUUUUAUUUGAUGUCAAAUUUUUAAAGAUUUUUUUCUCCUAGGUUUUUCCCCUUGUAUUUUGUUAGCAUUUUAUUCAGUCCUUGGUUUUUGACCUCCAACACCCCCAGUGAGCCCAAAUCCUUAAUCUGCUCUGGAUUCUGUAAUUACUUUUUUAAAAUGGUCCUGAACAUCAGUCCAUUCAACAUGUCUUUAGUAAUAAACCAAAAAUAAAUCAAAAUGUGGCAAAUGGUUUAAAUGAAGUCUACCACAUUUUAGGAACCCCUUGAAUGAAAGAGAUCCCCACUGUCCACUCCAUAGAGCUGAUGACAUGCAUCCUGUGUACUUCAUGAAAGAAGUUUAUUUACUGCCUCGGCUUGUGGUAAGAGUUGAUCACAAAAUGGUAUUUAGACUGGAAAUUGAGUUAAAGUCAGUUUGGUCCUGAUUGUUACGUGCGGUGUCCUACAGGGGUCAGUCUUGGGCCCCGAGUAGCUCAUCUUAUCCAUUCAUUCAACUUCUGUGAACCGCUGACUCCUACUACUGGUUUCUUCCCAGCAGGAACACCCAGGACACAAACAGCCUAAUGUACCUAUUUCUAUACCUUUAUGUGUCACUGUGUCUGUAUAUUGACUGUCAAGCGUGUCACAUGCUAUAAUUGUUUGCUUUGGAAAUGGUCCCAUAAUCAAGAAGGUCAAAAUGUGAAACCCAGCUCUGAACUAAUGAAUUGUUUAAAGGCUCGUAUGUCUUCCUUCGCUUCUUUUUUUUUUUUUUUUUUUUUUUUUGAAAACCAAAAUUGCUGAUUGUGGAUUUUCAUAAAACAUUUUUUCUCCCAGUAAUCAAAGGGGAUCUUGUUGAUUUCUGGGUAAAAGAACAAAACUUAUAAAUCCACUCCACUGCAGAUUGGCAAGGCUCACACAUCUGGGUUUGGACGGCCAAAAAAUAUAAAAGGCUCCCGUGAUGGUGUUUCCUACUUUGACUGUAUCAAUGGUUGAUAUUGCUAAUAAAUAACUGGUUUUAAUAUUUAGACUGACCAAUUAUUUUGUUGAUAUGUGACUCAAAUGCUCUUCCCUGUUUGCAACAUUAAAGCAACUUAUUCUGAGAGGGACCUAACCUUCCUUUGCUUAUUGUGCCAGAUUUCCAUUUGGAAAACAUUGAAACUGGGAAGAAUGGAGGUUUACAUGUAAUGGGAUAAAGUGUAUCUUCACAUAAUAAAUGAUGCAGAUGUGUAAAAUCCUAAUGAAUCUGCAGAACGGCAGAUAAUUGCCAGUAAAUCUAAGGUGAAAUACAGUUUAUAUUCAUUAAGAUAAUCAACACAUGGUUACCAUGAGAGUGGGUAGAUGGUAAAAUGGUUAAUUAAGAUGCAGCAUUUCCAGAUUUCAAAUCUGACAUGUUCUUGACAUUGCUGGUAACACA
rnacentral:lncRNA from 1 species